rnacentral:tRNA from 1 species
UAUAAAGUGCCUGAUAAAAGGAUUAUUCUGAUAGAAUAAAUAAUAUAAUUUAAAUUAUCUUUAUAA